ACAUCUGAGUGCUUGCACUUUGGCAGACUGAGUGGCGGACGGGUGAGUAACGCGUGGGUAACCUGCCUUAUACAGGGGGAUAACAGUUGGAAACGACUGCUAAUACCGCAUAAAGUGUUUUGGGGGCAUCCCCGGAACACCAAAGAUUUAUUGCUGAAAGAUGGCCUCGCGUCUGAUUAGCUAGUUGGCGGGGUAACGGCCCACCAAGGCGACGAUCAGUAGCCGGACUGAGAGGUUGAACGGCCACAUUGGGACUGAGAUACGGCCCAGACUCC
rnacentral:rRNA from 1 species